UACAUAUCAAUGUUUUUUUCAAAUGCUAUUGAAAAUGAGUUUUCGUAAUUGCAAUAAGAAAAUAUUUUGAAAAAGAGUCGAAAGUGGUGCUCUAAUAAUGGUAGCGCCCAUUUAUCCAACACAUUAAAGUAUUCAUUAUAAGUAUUCCCUAAUCAGUAAAGUAGGACAAAGGCAAAUAAUAAAGGGUCGAAAGUAGGUCUGAAAAGAUGAGUCCAAUGUUUUGAUCUAGGUUAAUUCAUUGUGCAUCGCGAGUAUAAAUAAGAUGAAUGGAUCACUUAUUCCAUUAUACAGCUGCAGUUGUUGAAUGCAACGCCAAGAUUCAAUCCAGAAUCAAUUCAACUUGACUUUACGAUGAGGUGGUACACGAAAGUAUAUCUAAUGUUGGUGGUUAUUAUAGUUUUGCAAGGCGCUUAUUCGUUACCCAUUCAAACCUCUGAAACAGCAUUGGAAACCAUGAAUCAGGUACCUCAAUGGCACUGCAUGAGAUACAGGAAGUUCGAACUAGUACGAAGGUGUAGAGGAUACAAGAACGGUAUACGAAGAUCCUGACCCCCAAAUUUAUUUACUAAUUUUAAUUGAUCUCAGUGAUUAGAAUAAGUAAUUUAUUAUUCAUCAGUAAAAUUAUUUAAACUGAAAUGUAUAUAACAUCUCUUUUAGAAUUUUCUGCUACCUUGAUAUUAUUUAUUACACUAACUUUGAACUAUUA